rnacentral:misc_RNA from 1 species
GAUGAAGAACGUAGCGAAAUGCGAUACGUAAUGUGAAUUGCAGAAUUCAGUGAAUCAUCGAAUCUUUGAACGCAUAUUGCGCUCUCUGGUAUUCCGGAGAGCAUGCUUGUUUGAGUAUCAGUAAACACCUCAACUUCCAUAUCUUUUUUGAAAUGGGAGUUGGACUUGAGUGAUCCCAACGCUUUUCCUCACCGAAAAGUGGCGGGUUACUUGAAAUGCAGGUGCAGCUGGACUUUUCUCUGAGCUAUAAGCAUAUCUAUUUAGUCUGCCUAAAAAACAGAUUAUUACCUUUGCUGCAGCUAACAUAAAGGAGAUUAGUUCUUGUGCUGACUGAUGCAGGAUUCACAAAGACGGCUUCGGCCGUCUUUGUAAACUCGAUCUCAAAUCAAGUAAGACUACCCGCUGAACUUAAGCAUAUCAAUAAGCGGAGGA